AAAGGGGUGUCUUACGACAUUCUGCACUUAUUAGAUCAAAUUGAUCGCCAACAGCCUAGCAAUAGGUUUAUUUUGGUGAAUCAUAAUAAUUAAGCGGAUCGCAUGGCCUUGCGCCGGGCUCAUUCGAUUUUCUGCCCUAUCAGGCUUUUGAUGGUAAGGUAGUGGCUUAGGCUAUCACGGGUGACGGGGAAUAAGGGUUUGAUUCCGGAGAGGGAGCCUGAGAAACGGCUACCACAUCCAAGGAAGGCAGCAGGCGCGCAAAUUACCCAAUCCCGACACGGGGAGGUAGUGAAAAUAACAAUGCAGAGCCUUUCAGGUUUUGCAAUUGGAAUGAGUACAAUUUAAAUCUCUUAACGAGAACAUGGCAUCAAUUGGAGGGCAAGUCUGGUGCCAGCAGCCGCGGUAAUUCCAGCUCCAAUUAUAUUAAAGUUGUUGCAGUUAAAACGUCCGUAGUCGAACUUUGGUUUGGGCUUGUGCGCGAAGACAUGUCCUUCAUUGGGCGUUUGGGUUGCAUGCCUUGCCAUUUUGUAGGGGUGCAGUCUUUCGGGGCUGAUGAUCUCUGCGUACAUGAGCAAAUCAGAGUGCUCAAAGCAGGCUGUAUAGCUUGAAUGUUUUAGCAUGGAAUAAUGAAAUAGGCUUUAGGUCUUGUUUCGUUGGUUUACUUGACACUGAAGAAUGAUGAAUAGGAACGGUUGGGGGCAUUUGUAUUUGGCCGCUAGAGGUGAAAUUCUUGGAUUGGAGACAAACUACUGCGAAAGCAUCUGACCCAGGACGUUUUCAUUGAAUGUCAUCAGAAAGUUGAGGGAUCGAAGACGAUUAGAUACCGUCGUAGUCUUAACCACAAACUAUGCCGACUAGCGAUCGCAUGGAUACUUUUUUUGUUCCAUGCGGCAGCUUAGCGAAAGUAAAGUUUUUGGGUUCUGGGGGGAGUAUGGGACGCAAGGCUGAAACUUAAAGGAAUUGACGGAAGGGCACCACCUGGAGCCUGCGGCUUUAGCUAAUUUGACUCAACACGGGGAAACUCACCAGGUCCAGACAUAAGAAGGAUUGACAGAUUGAAAGCUCUUUCUAGAUUUUAUGGGUGGUGGUGCAUGGCCGUUCUUAGUUCGUGGAGUGAUUUGUCUGGUUAAUUCCGCGGACGAGACCGUAUGAAAUAGUUGGAUGGGCUUUUGAUGGGUGGUAUGAGAUUUCGGUCUCCCAUCCGCCUAUUUCGACUACUGAAUUCAAUUCAGGGGGAGUAUGGCAAUAACAGGUCUGUGAUGCCCUUAGAUGUUCUGGGCCGCGCGCUACACUGACAAAGGCAACGUUUUCCUUGGCUGG
rnacentral:rRNA from 1 species